GACAGAGGAUGCAAGCGUUAUCCGGAAUGAUUGGGCGUAAAGCGUCUGUAGGUGGCUUUUUAAGUCCGCCGUCAAAUCCCAGGGCUCAACCCUGGACAGGCGGUGGAAACUACCAAGCUGGAGUACGGUAGGGGCAGGAGGAAUUUCCGGGUUGGAGCGGUGAAAUGACGUAGAGAUCGGAAAGAACACCAACGGCGAAAGCACUCUGCUGGGCCGACACUGACACUGA
rnacentral:rRNA from 1 species